rnacentral:rRNA from 1 species
AGAGUUUGAUCAUGGCUCAGAACGAACGCUGGCGGCAGGCUUAACACAUGCAAGUCGAACGCUCGUAGCAAUACGGGAGUGGCGGACGGGUGAGUAACGCGUGGGAACGUGCCCUGAGGUACGGAAUAACUGCGGGAAACUGCAGCUAAUACCGUAUGAGCCCCGCAAGGGGGAAAGAUUUAUCGCCUUGGGAGCGGCCCGCGUCGGAUUAGCUAGUUGGUGGGGUAACGGCCUACCAAGGCUUCGAUCCGUAGCUGGUCUGAGAGGACGAUCAGCCACACUGGGACUGAGACACGGCCCAGACUCCUACGGGAGGCAGCAGUGGGGAAUCUUGCGCAAUGGGGGCAACCCUGACGCAGCCAUGCCGCGUGAAUGAUGAAGGCCUUAGGGUUGUAAAGUUCUUUUGCCCGUGACGAUGAUGACGGUAACGGGAGAAUAAGCUCCGGCUAACUUCGUG